AGAGGGAUAUUCUUGUCUUAAAGGAAAGGGAACUCAGUGUUAAAAGUGAUGUCAUUGAUUUCCUUCGAAGAUCUGCUGCAAUUGAGAUUCAUUGGUCAGGCUGCUGAGAUACAGAAAUUGCAAACCAUGGUAUAUUGAGAUGAUUUCUUUGGAGCAAUUCUUGACAACAUUUGUAGUUGAGGCCUUUAGAAUGGAAGAAUGUAUUUCACUAAUUUUUGUAUACAUUUCUUGUUUUGUAUUUAGUGAUAAAGGAAUCUGAAUUGGGCAUAAAUUGUGUUGUAAUAUGAUUUCUUAAGCCUAGACUAGUAGACUAAAUAUUGUAAUUACAUUUGAGUAAUUAAUAAAAAUCUAUUAUGUUA